GGACUACUCGGGUAUCUAAUCCUGUUCGCUCCCCACGCUUUCGCUCCUCAGCGUCAGUAACGGCCCAGAGACCCGCCUUCGCCACCGGUGUUCCUCCUGAUAUCUGCGCAUUCCACCGCUACACCAGGAAUUCCAGUCUCCCCUACCGCACUCUAGCCUGCCCGUACCGGAUGCAAGCCCGCAGUUAAGCUGCGGGUUUUCACAUCCGACGCGACAAGCCGCCUACGAGCUCUUUACGCCCAAUAAAUCCGGACAACGCUCGCGCCCUACGUAUUACCGCGGCUGCUGGCAC
rnacentral:rRNA from 1 species